rnacentral:lncRNA from 1 species
UGAUUAUGACCACCGUAUUCAAAAUAAAAUGAAAUCCAAUAAAUCACAUGUAAAACACCCCUAAUUAACCUGAAUCGGACAAUUUACCAAGAGGUUUCCCAUUUUAUCCCCAACAGCCCCAUCUUCGGAGUCAGCAUAACAAUGCUAAUAUAGAAAAAUGAUAAGGUGAUGUACCUGCAAGCCUCCUUGAGCAUACAAGCGUCUUUGCAUUAGCAAGAGAAUUGUCGGCACACUGUUCCCUCUUGAGUCAUAUGACAACUGCAUAGAUUCAGUGGAAACUCCGAAAACAGUUGCGUUGCAUAAUGAUAAAAUUCAAAUCAAUAGGCAAAGCAAGACAACAAUCAUAUGAAAUAGUUCACUGCUUUUAAUUGGCAUGAUGUAAAGCUAGAAAAAAACAGGAACUUAACAAACACAGCUUCAGGGAUAAAAGGAUUAUCAAGUGACUUGUUGUUGGAAAAGUUACUUGAAGGUGCCAUUGGUGUUUCUUUGGACUAGCAGUGAAAUUUGAAACAGAACAACCAACAUGUUAAAUCCUAGAAUGCAUCUAGCUCACAACUGAUCAAGUGGGUGCUUGUGAAUACACACACAACUUCAACCAUAAUCAAGGAACCAGUGCAAGCGAUCCAGGGGGGAGGGCAUCAACUCAUCUGUAUUUUAGUUGAGUUGUGAAUAAUCUUGGUCUUUUUAGUUAUAUUACUAACAUGAAACAAAAAGGAAUUUAAGUCUAUAAUCAAGGGGCAGACAAGACUUCCAUAAGAAAUAGUGAAUGUUGUGCUGGUAUCAAAGUUUAACCAUAUACUCCCAUAAAACAAAUGAAAAAUGGCUCUAGAAAUCAAGCAUUUGUACAAUGGUCCACGAAGCUAUAUCUAUGCAUCAAUCCAUGCAUAACAAGGUUGAAACUCAAAAGUAGCGGACUUUAUAUGGAAAAGUCCAUGUUUUGUGGAUUCAAAUGGCAGGCCAGCAACCACACCUUUCAGUUGAAUCUCUUUAAUUCAAUUAUUGGUUCUAGAAAUUAUUUCUGCAGCAGAACUUUACAGUUAAUUGCCCUCCCUUUUUUCCCCAUAAAAUGGAAUUUCAGAAAAAACAUCAAACUCCAAUGGACAAAAAAGGAAUGAAGAACCAUAAAUCAAUUAUAAUAAAAUCCACAAAUUCAAGACUGGAUGGGGCAAUAGAACCUCAAAAAAAUAAAUCCAUCACUCGGAUACAGCAACACUAAAUUUCAAGAACAGGGAAAAAUUACAGCGUGCAAAGAGAGGAAAAAACCUCAGCGUGAAAAGAACGUCGUGUCGCCGUCGAUUAUGGAAAAAUAAUGCAGAUGAGGGGCAAGCAAGGGCUGGUGAAAAGAACGUCGUCGAUUGUU